rnacentral:rRNA from 1 species
GACGAACGCUGGCGGCGUGCUUAACACAUGCAAGUCGAACGGAAAGGCCCUGCUUAUGUGGGGUGCUCGAGUGGCGAACGGGUGAGUAACACGUGAGUAACCUGCCCUUGACUGUGGGAUAACUUCAGGAAACUGGGGCUAAUACCUGAUAGGAGUUCCUGCUGCAUGGUGGGGGUUGGAAAGUUUCGGCGGUUGGGGAUGGACUCGCGGCUUAUCAGCUUGUUGGUGGGGUAGUGGCUUACCAAGGCUUUGACGGGUAGCCGGCCUGAGAGGGUGACCGGCCACAUUGGGACUGAGAUACGGCCCAGACUCCUACGGGAGGCAGCAGUGGGGGAUAUUGCACAAUGGGCGGAAGCCUGAUGCAGCAAAGCCGCGUGCGGGAUGACGGCCUUCGGGUUGUAAACCGCUUUCGCCUGUGGCGAAGCGUGAGUGACGGUAAUGGGUAAAGAAGCACCGGCUAACUACGUG